rnacentral:rRNA from 1 species
UAGGGAAUCUUCCGCAAUGGGCGAAAGCUUGACGGAGCAACGCCGCGUGAGUGAUGAAGGUCCUCGGAUCGUAAAACUCUUUUAUUAGGGAAGAACAAAUGUGUAAGUAACUAUGCACGUCUUGACGGUACCUAAUCAGAAAGCCACGGCUAACUACGUGCCAGCAGCCGCGGUAAUACGUAGGUGGCCAGCGUUAACCGGAAAUAUUGUGCGUAAAGCGCGCGUAGGCGGUUUUUUAAGUCUGAUGUGAAAGCCCACGGCUCAACCGUGGAGGUGCAUUGGAAACUGGACAACUUGAGUGCGGAAGAGGAAAGUGGAAUUCCAGGUGUAGCGGUGAAAUGCGCAGAGAUAUGGAGGAACACCAGUGGCGAAGGCGACUUUCUGGUCUGUAACUGACGCUGAUGUGCGAAAGCGUGGGGAUCAAACAGG